rnacentral:rRNA from 1 species
AGUGAACGCUGGCGGUAGGCCUUACACAUGCAAGUCGAACGGCAGCACAGUUACAUCCUCCUCGUACGGGUGGCGAGUGGCGGACGGGUUAGGAAUACACCUGAACUUACGUUGGGGUUGGCGAGACCGAAGGCGAACUAACGCCACAACCGCACUCGAGCUGCGGGCGAAAGCAGUUGAGCUUCGGACCUUGCGCGAUUGCAUGAGCCGAUUUCGGAUUAGCUAGUUGGCGGGGUAAAGGCCCACCAAGGCGACGAUCCGUAGCUGGUCUGAGAGGAUGACCAGCCACACUGGAACUGAGACACGGUCCAGACUCCUACGGGAGGCAGCAGUGGGGAAUUUUGGACAAUGGGCGCAAGCCUGAUCCAGCAAUACCGCGUGGGUGAAGAAGGCCUUCGGGUUGUAAAGCCCUUUUGUUGGGAAAGAAAAGCAGCAGGUUAAUACCCCGCUGUUAUGACGGUACCCAAAGAAUAAGCACCGGCUAACUUCGUG